rnacentral:lncRNA from 1 species
AAUAAUUGCAUGUAAAGAAGGCCCUAUAUGAAUAUAUAUACAUGUACAUGUUUAGGGGGUCAGAUAUAAAUAAAUACAUUGGGAGCUACAAUCAAGAGUUGUCAAAAUUUGUUAGUUCAACUUUGCUAUGUGAGUUUGAAACUUAGUUUCUAUAAAAACAGAGGAUUUAUCAAAUUAUAUCUUUCAAUACAAAACGUUAGCAAUUGAUUGGAUGAUACUCUCUGAAAUUAACUAAGUCAAUUAUAUAUGCGAAGAAAAAGUAAAUGUGAUGGAAAUGGAUGUCCUCACAAUUAUUGUUUAUAGUUGUUUUAUAUCCUUAUCUUUUGAUCUUAAUUGUAUAGUUGUCUCAAUGGCAAUCAUACCACAUCUUGUCUUAAUAUUAACAGAGCAAAAACACACAAAUUGCUCCUUUAAAUGAGAUUUUAAUUAGAAAAUCAUUAAUUACAAAUUGGUUCUGAAAGAUAGUCAUGAGAUUUUAUUUAGUUUUUUUCAAAAAAUACUUGUAAAUUGAAUCACUACCCAUUAAUGGGAUAUGUAGGAUCUUGAUUAAUUUAAACAACAUGAGAUGAGAGACUAAUUCUUUUUAACAGGCUGCAUAUUAAAUUAAAAAAAAAUGUGAUUCUUCUUUUGUUUAAACCAGGGUGCCUCGGAAGCUGAGUGGUCAAAGUAUACCAACUACUGUAUCACUAGCCUGUCAGAAAUGGGGUUGUUAGUUAGAACCCUGUGUGUGGCAGGCACACUUCACUCCAAUCUUAUUUGACUAGGAAUGUCAGUUUUUGUGCCAAAGAUCAGGGUUCUCUCUGUGCGUUCUGGUUUCCUCCAC